GUGGGGAAUAUUGGACAAUGGGCGAAAGCCUGAUCCAGCCAUGCCGCGUGUGUGAAGAAGGUCUUCGGAUUGUAAAGCACUUUAAGUUGGGAGGAAGGGUAGUAACCUAAUACGUUGCUACUUUGACGUUACCGACAGAAUAAGCACCGGCUAACUUCGUGCCAGCAGCCGCGGUAAUACGAAGGGUGCAAGCGUUAAUCGGAAUUACUGGGCGUAAAGCGCGCGUAGGUGGUUCGGUAAGUUGGAAGUGAAAUCCCCGGGCUCAACCUGGGAACUGCUUUCAAAACUGCUGAGCUAGAGUACGGUAGAGGGUGGUGGAAUUUCCUGUGUAACGGUGAUAUGCGUAGAUAUAGGAAGGAACACCAGUGGCGAAGGCGACCACCUGGACUGAUACUGACACUGAGGUGCGAAAGCGUGGGGAGCAAACAGGAUUAGAAACCCGGGUAGUCC
rnacentral:rRNA from 1 species